AAACAUCGAAUGAACUUAACCAUUUCAUUCCGCCCGGGAAUUACGGACACCAGUCUAAAAACCAAAGGACUUGGCGGUGCUUUAAACCCCCCUAGAGGAGCCUGUCCUAUAACCGAUGACCCCCGUUUAACCUCACCCUCCCUCGCUCGAUCCACCUAUAUACCGCCGCCGUCAGCUUACCCUGAGAAGGAAUAGAAGUAUGCAAAAUUGGCAAAGCCCCAAACGUCAGGUCGAGGUGUAGUGCAUGAGAGGGGAAGAGAUGGGCUACAUUUGCUAACCAGAAGCAAAUACGGAUGUAUUAUUGAAACCGAUACUGAAGGAGGAUUUAGUAGUAAGAGGGGAGCAGAGUGCCCC
rnacentral:rRNA from 1 species